rnacentral:misc_RNA from 1 species
GAAAAAUCCCACUUGUACUAGUGCCUCUGGCCGAAAAAGCCCUAAUUUUGAUUCCAUCCCCGGGAAAUGUCGACGUGGAAGAUCUUCUCCGACGCCGGAAAUAAUUUCCAGUGGGAAUCCUCCUCUCAAAUCACUCACAGCAAGCCCUUAAAUGCAUCAAACAGUCCCCCGAUUCAAACUCUCGGCUGCACUCCUCGCCUCCCUUCCAUGGCCGAUAUCCUACUUCAAGAUUGUUCCACGCUUCUAGAGAACGGCGAAGAGGAUGUCGACCAUGCUCCGAUGUUCCGUACAGGAUUAGGGAAGUCGGUUGCAUUGAAACAAUCUUCGAUUGCGAAAGCGUUGUCUGUUCUUGGAGACAAUGAUAAUGCUAUCAGCUCUGAUGAAACACAUUGUACAGAUAACGUAGGUGGAUUCAACAACUCCUUGUUCUGUACGGGGUCAGGCAAAUCAGUCAAUGUAUCUUCUGCUGGUCUGAUCAGAGCCAAGGCAUUGUUGGGCUUGGAAAACAAUAAUGAUGUCUCCAGUUUUCAAGGCUUUCAACAUCCAAGGAAAUCAUCUAAUGCCAUUGAAGAGCAUGAGUGGCGAGGUUCUUUGCAUUUGAGGAUGAAAGAAGGUAUGAAAAGAAGUGCAAUAGAAUCAGUUCCAAGGCCAACUUUAAUUUCUAAGGCUAGUUCGGUCGGAAGCAAAUUAUCAGAUGUGGUCAAUCCAAGCUUGUUGCAACAUGAACUAAAUAAUUCCACUCCCAAACCACCUCCCAUUAAAUUCCAUACUGCAGGUGGAAGAUCCUUAUCUGUUUCCAGUGAUGCAUUGGAACGUGCAAAGAGUCUUCUUGGUGAUCCAGACUUGGGUACUUUGUUAAAUGAAGAGGAUGCAGUUGAUCCAGGCCUUUCAGUUUCCAAAGAGAGUAGAUUCAAUGAUGCUUCAUCCACCAAGGAAACAGAUUUUCACUCUGCUUUUACUUAUCCAGCAACUGCAAAGAGCAAGCAUAACUCAAAAAUUUUCAUAUCCCCUAUGAGAUUAUCUACAAACCAAGUUCCAUCAUCCUUAAAUUCGGAAAAUAUUGUUUUGGGAAUUAGCUUGAUAAAGAAAUUUGAUGCAGUUGAUGACGACAAAUUUUGUGGGUUGGAUAAUGCUGCACCUUCCAUUCAGAGGCCCUUAAGCAACGGGUCCUGUAAAACUGAUACGGUGGAGGAUAAUUCCUUGGAAAUUUUUAUU